GGGCAGCAACUUCAGGCCCUGCUGGUGUUUGAUUUAGUCGUGCUCAGGUUCAGGAGAAGAUGAAAUAUAGCUAGAUAGCUUUGAUGUAGUUUGCUGGAUAUCAUGGGCGAGCGACGAGCAUGUCGUCCGCAGCCCGGUUGCCUACACAUGGAAGAUGUGAGGAGCAGGGCAGCAACUUCAGGCCCUGCUGGUGUUUGAUUUAGUCGUGCUCGUGUUCAAGAAGGUGGGGCAGAAGCUAGAUAGCUUUGAUGUAGUUUGCUGGUCGCUUCGCAAAGAGAAUCUGCGCGAAGCCCUCAGCUGCAAAACCUGGAGUUCUUCCUCGGUGCCGGUCGGUGACUCGCCGGACUUUGUUUUCCCUUACGGUUGUUAGUUGCCGGCGACAAGCUUGUGCGCCGUUAACGAGUGAGGUUUAAGUUUUAUCCUUUUUCUAGUUCUGUGUUUGCAAGCGAGAAAUAACCCUGAACCAAAGUGGCUCAGCCGUUUGAUCCCAAUUUGUCAUCUGGUGUAUUUCUAUGCCCAUCCUGGUGCUCCUGAAUUAAUGCAAAAUGAUGGAAAGAUCGUUAGAAUUUCUCUUGGGCAAUAUGCUUGUUUCGAACUGCUAUGUUUGAACCAGCUUGUUCUUUUUUU
rnacentral:lncRNA from 1 species